rnacentral:misc_RNA from 1 species
CAUUAGGGUUCGAUCUCUCUCUCUGGGUUUUUUUUUUGGGUAGUUUGAAGUGGCGAAGUUGGGGAAAGGAGCAAGGCAAGUAACGGUUUAAGUCAUCUAUCUGCGUGCGAGUCCAAGUGGCGGAACUGAGAUCGUUGGGAAACCUAAUCGGAGCGUUUGGAUGCGAGCGUAAUAGAAAACGCCGUUUCGAAGAAAAUGGCGCUCCGAUUUUCAAACCCGGUUCGAGAGUG